rnacentral:rRNA from 1 species
AAUGCACGCAGGUGCGAUGGGGGGACUCCGAGUGCAGUCUUCCAAAACGGAAGGCCGCUUUUCUGCACUUUAAGCAGGUGCCGAAACAAGGGGUGGGCAAGACGGCUGCCAGCCGCCGCGGUAAUAGCCGCACCCCGAGUGGUAGUCAUUGUUAUUGGGCUUAAAGUGUUCGUAGCCGGACAUACAAGUCUGCUGUGAAAUCCAUGCGCUUAACGUAUGGACAUGCAGCGGAUACUGUGUGUCUAGGAACCGGACGGCGUCGAGGCUAUUCCCGGGGUAGGGGUGAAAUCCUAAAAUCCUGGGAGGAGCACCUGUGGCGAAAGCGCUCGACGAGUACGGAUUCGACGGUGAGGAACGAAAGCCAGUGGAGCAAAGCGGAUUAGAUACCCGCGUAGUACUGGCUGUAAACAUUGUGCGUUUGAUGUCGGACAACCUCCGAGGUUGUCCGGUGCCGAAGUGAAAACGUUAAACGCACCGCCUGGGGAGUACGGUCGCAAGGCUGAAACUUAAAGGAAUUGGCAGGGGAGCACGGUCAU